GAUGAACGCUGGCGGCGUGCCUAAUACAUGCAAGUCAAGCGAACAGACGAGGAGCUUGCUCCUUCGACGUUAGCGGCGGACGGGUGAGUAACACGUAGGUAACCUACCUAUAAGACUGGGAUAACUUCGGGAAACCGGAGCUAAUACCGGAUAAUAUUUCGAACCGCAUGGUUCGAUAGUGAAAGAUGGCUUUGCUAUCACUUAUAGAUGGACCUGCGCCGUAUUAGCUAGUUGGUAAGGUAACGGCUUACCAAGGCAACGAUACGUAGCCGACCUGAGAGGGUGAUCGGCCACACUGGAACUGAGACACGGUCCAGACUCCUACGGGAGGCAGCAGUAGGGAAUCUUCCGCAAUGGGCGAAAGCCUGACGGAGCAACGCCGCGUGAGUGAUGAAGGUCUUCGGAUCGUAAAACUCUGUUAUUAGGGAAGAACAAACGUGUAAGUAACUGUGCACGUCUUGACGGUACCUAAUCAGAAAGCCACGGCUAACUACGUG
rnacentral:rRNA from 1 species